AGUGAACGCUGGCGGUAGGCCUAACACAUGCAAGUCGAACGGCAGCACAGUAAGAGCUUGCUCUUACGGGUGGCGAGUGGCGGACGGGUGAGGAAUACAUCGGAAUCUACUUUUUCGUGGGGGAUAACGUAGGGAAACUUACGCUAAUACCGCAUACGACCUACGGGUGAAAGCAGGGGAUCUUCGGACCUUGCGCGAUUGAAUGAGCCGAUGUCGGAUUAGCUAGUUGGCGGGGUAAAGGCCCACCAAGGCGACGAUCCGUAGCUGGUCUGAGAGGAUGAUCAGCCACACUGGAACUGAGACACGGUCCAGACUCCUACGGGAGGCAGCAGUGGGGAAUAUUGGACAAUGGGCGCAAGCCUGAUCCAGCCAUACCGCGUGGGUGAAGAAGGCGUUCGGGUUGUAAAGCCGUUUUGUUGGGAAAGAAAAGCAGCAGGUUAAUACCCCGCUGUUCUGACGGUACCCAAAGAAUAAGCACCGGCUAACUUCGUG
rnacentral:rRNA from 1 species